CCUACGGGAGGCAGCAGUGAGGAAUAUUGGUCAAUGGGCGCGAGCCUGAACCAGCCACGUAGCGUGAAGGAUGACUGCCCUACGGGUUGUAAACUUCUUUUAUAAAGGAAUAAAGUGAGGCACGUGUGCCUUUUUGUAUGUACUUUAUGAAUAAGGAUCGGCUAACUCCGUGCCAGCAGCCGCGGUAAUACGGAGGAUCCGAGCGUUAUCCGGAUUUAUUGGGUUUAAAGGGAGCGUAGAUGGGUUGUUAAGUCAGUUGUGAAAGUUUGCGGCUCAACCGUAAAAUUGCAAUUGAUACUGGCAGUCUUGAGUGCAGUAGAGGUAGGCGGAAUUCGUGGUGUAGCGGUGGAAUGCUUAGAUAUCACGAAGAACUCCGAUUGCGAAGGCAGCUUACUAAGCUGCCACUGACGUUGAUGCGCGAAAGUGUGGGUAGCAAACAGGAUUAGAUACCCCUGUAGUC
rnacentral:rRNA from 1 species